AGAGUUUGAUCCUGGCUCAGGAUGAACGCUGGCGGCGUGCCUAAUACAUGCAAGUCGAGCGAACGGACGAGAAGCUUGCUUCUCUGAUGUUAGCGGCGGACGGGUGAGUAACACGUGGAUAACCUACCUAUAAGACUGGGAUAACUUCGGGAAACCGGAGCUAAUACCGGAUAAUAUUUUGAACCGCAUGGUUCAAAAGUGAAAGACGGUCUUGCUGUCACUUAUAGAUGGAUCCGCGCUGCAUUAGCUAGUUGGUAAGGUAACGGCUUACCAAGGCAACGAUGCAUAGCCGACCUGAGAGGGUGAUCGGCCACACUGGAACUGAGACACGGUCCAGACUCCUACGGGAGGCAGCAGUAGGGAAUCUUCCGCAAUGGGCGAAAGCCUGACGGAGCAACGCCGCGUGAGUGAUGAAGGUCUUCGGAUCGUAAAACUCUGUUAUUAGGGAAGAACAUAUGUGUAAUUAACUGUGCACAUCUUGACGGUACCUAAUCAGAAAGCCACGGCUAACUACGUGCCAGCAGCCGCGGUAAUACGUAGGUGGCAAGCGUUAUCCGGAAUUAUUGGGCGUAAAGCGCGCGUAGGCGGUUUUUUAAGUCUGAUGUGAAAGCCCACGGCUCAACCGUGGAGGGUCAUUGGAAACUGGAAAACUUGAGUGCAGAAGAGGAAAGUGGAAUUCCAUGUGUAGCGGUGAAAUGCGCAGAGAUAUGGAGGAACACCAGUGGCGAAGGCGACUUUCUGGUCUGUAACUGACGCUGAUGUGCGAAAGCGUGGGGAUCAAACAGGAUUAGAUACCCUGGUAGUCCACGCCGUAAACGAUGAGUGCUAAGUGUUAGGGGGUUUCCGCCCCUUAGUGCUGCAGCUAACGCAUUAAGCACUCCGCCUGGGGAGUACGACCGCAAGGUUGAAACU
rnacentral:rRNA from 1 species